rnacentral:lncRNA from 1 species
CAUAAUUUGAAAAAAUUGAGACAUAUAGGAUUGCAAAGUAUAGAAAAAAUUAGAAUAUGAAGACAUAAAACGACACCGGAUAUGUCGUAAAACGUGGGGACCCACCCAAUCCACUGCAGUUAUCAUCUUGGAGAUGAAAAACCAAGUUAUUAUUCUCUGACACUCCAUUCUUGUAUUUCAUUGUCUUUUGAUUCCCCAAUAAAUAGUCACCUUCAUUUACUUUGACCAACUCCCACAAUAUAUAUAUAUAUAUAUGUAUUAAAAAAAAAUCUAAAUCAUAUGUAAAAAUACUUCCAUGAUCUUCAGAAUUUGGUGGUGAUCUUAUAAUUUAAUAAUAUAUUUUUGCAUAUUAAGAAUGUGCCUGAAAUAAUUAAAAGUCAAUUUCAUACAAUUAAUAUAACUGAAUUAAAUUAUAGUUAUUCUAAAUUUACUGAAAUAUAUUAUUAUGUCCAAAAAAGAAUUUUUACUCAGUAAAACUUAUUUGAGUAAAUAGUUAAAAUACGUGAAAUUGUUUUUACCUCAUUCUCCACGUCAGCACCUGAUAUUCCCCUUGCCCCUUCAAUCCAACGGUGCAGAUCAUCUCUACCUUUCACAGAUCUACAAAUCCCCUCCGUUCAAUCUUCUUUAUUAUGUUCCUUACCGCCUCACAAUCUUCUUUACUCACUGGGUAGCAGAGAAGAAACAGGCCAACGAGGGAAAACUUCAGAUUAAUGUCGUAAAGAGUGGAGAAUCGUGAGUUGAGAAACUCGCCGUGAGUCAACUGGGACGAUCUCUUUCUCUGCUCCUCAAGCUUCUCUCGCAUCGAGAUCUGCCUUUUACACCUUUUUAUUUGAUUCACGAAGAAACUUCAAAAUGGAACGUUGGAAACUCUGCUAGAGAGGCGAGGAGUAGAGAGAGAGAGAGAGAGAGAGAGUCGAGCUGCACAGAGAGGCUUUCGGGCGCGCGCGAAUCUCAGUAAAAUUGCAGGGCUUUUUUGCUUUUUUUUUUAUGGUUUUGUUUGACGGCUUAGAAGAGAUGAUUGCGGAUCUUAUGUGGUAUUUCUGCAUUCCUCUCAGUUGCUCUGCUAUCUUCUUCCUCUCUGGUCUCUUCUCUCUCUCCUUUAUACUGGUGAUGUAUCUCUCCUCAAUCUAUUAUAGUGAUCUGGACGAUCUGGGGAAAAAUAGUAGGGUUUAUUUAAAAAUAAUUUAAUAGUUUAGAAUUAAAAGAUAUAUAUAUAUAUAUAUAUAUAUAUAAAGAGUUUUAAACAUAAAAUUUUGAAUUGUAUAGUAACUAUUUAAACCUAUUUAAAUAUAUUUAUGUACAGUAUAUAAAACAUAAUAUUUAUUAAGUCAUGUUAAAUAUUAAAAAGUUAAUUAAUUUUUGACACAUAUU